GCUCAGGGGAAUUUUAAAGCACAUUUUGACAUGGCUAUCAUAGCACUGAGCCGUAUGCAAAUCAAUCCUUGCCCGUCUCGAUUACUAUAAAUUACACUAGCUUGCCCGGAUUUCGUAGUCAAAUAAAGCUAGGAGUGUCACUUAGAAAAUUUUUGCCUGAUCGAAAAAAAUUUUUCGUCAUAGACGGACUUAGGAAGGUUCAAAACGCAUAUUAACGGAGAUAGGUUUGGCUCAG
rnacentral:lncRNA from 1 species